GAUGAACGCUGGCGGCGUGCCUAAUACAUGCAAGUCGAGCGAAUGGAUUAAGAGCUUGCUCUUAUGAAGUUAGCGGCGGACGGGUGAGUAACACGUAGGUAACCUGCCAUAAGACUGGGAUAACUCCGGGAAACCGGGGCUAAUACCGGAUAACACUUUGAACCGCAUGGUUCGAAAUUGAAAGGCGGCUUCGGCUGUCACUUAUGGAUGGACCCGCGUCGCAUUAGCUAGUUGGUGAGGUAACGGCUCACCAAGGCAACGAUGCGUAGCCGACCUGAGAGGGUGAUCGGCCACACUGGGACUGAGACACGGCCCAGACUCUUACGGGAGGCAGCAGUAGGGAAUCUUCCGCAAUGGACGAAAGUCUGACGGAGCAACGCCGCGUGAGUGAUGAAGGCUUUCGGGUCGUAAAACUCUGUUGUUAGGGAAGAACAAGUGCUAGUUGAAUAAGCUGACACCUUGACGGUACCUAACCAGAAAGCCACGGCUAACUACGUGCCAGCCGCCGCGGUAA
rnacentral:rRNA from 1 species